rnacentral:tRNA from 1 species
UCCCUGGUGGUUCAGUGAGUUAAGGAUCCUGCAUUGUAACUGCUGUGGUGCAGGUUUGAUCCCUGACCGGGGAA